UUGCAAUAUUUUAACCGAACUUUUAUAUGCCUCAUCGGAUAUUGUCAUCACUGGUUGUAGUAUAAUUUUGCAUAAUCAUUUGAUUAAUAUAAUUUAGGCAAUAAUUUUUAUCUAAAAAAUUUGCAUAAGAUAAAGAAUUAUUUUUAUUUUUAAUUGAAGUGAAGAUUGGAGUUUUUCCCACCAAAGUAAAAUUGAAGCUCGAAAAAUAUUAUGCCUUCAUUUAAGUAUAAAAAUAGAAAUUUUUAAAAUUAUUAUAAAGGUCAAUACAUCAUCAUAAAAACUACUAAUUUAGAGCUUGCUAGGAAGUAAAAAAAAAUCUAAUCAUUUAAAUUUAAUUUGAUGAACAAAGUUUCUUUGUGGUUGGAUUCUAUUCAAUUUGGAGAGAUCUAGCUUCCAAUCAUAACUGUUUGUGAUUGAAACGACAGUUGUGUCUAGCGAGCCCUAUCAUGGAUCCUAUCUAAUGACAUAUGGUUGUGAUCAAAAGGCUAUCCUCCUCCCCAAUCUAACAU
rnacentral:lncRNA from 1 species